GACCAAAGGAGCUACCAUCUUAUUCAAUUAGACUCAGCCUGUCUCAACUGCUACACCAGGGAUGUAAAGUGGCUGCCACUUGGACUGGUUGUGUUGGGGCUGAGCAGAUCAAAAGAGGAUUGAUUUAGGUACAAGUGGCCCAGUGGGAACAAAGACAUGAGGUGCACCAACUCUUCCAGGCAAUAUCAGAGUGAACAGAAUUAAUAUGGGCAAUGAAACAUGAUCUUUCACUUGUUUCAUUGAUACAACAGAAAGAAAAAGGAGACAGAAAUCUUGACUUGAGCCAUUUCAGUCAGAAUGUUCAUAUCAUACUGCCAGACGUCUUGCCACUAGGAUUAGAUGUCAACCCCCUCAGCAAACUCUGAUCUAACUAUCUGCUGACAACCUGAGCAACAUGAAAGCCUCUUUCAUGGAAGACGUCUAAAACCCAAACAGACUUGAUGAUGAGUUUGUAACUGGUGUAGCAGGGAGACACGCACAGAAGAAACACUUGAGUAUACCUGCAAUUUCAAAAGAGAACAUGGCUUAUAGUGCUACUUAAGAAAACUGCCCAGUGAGAUCAUUGCAAGGCUGGGCAUAAGGAUAUUUUAUGUGGAGGUUAGACAAAACGCUUCAUGCACCUCAUAGCUGAGGACACCUAGAACAGAGCUCCGGAAGUCAAACCCCUCCCCACUGUUGUAAAUUGC